UGCAAUCUGAUAAUUCUGUAAACACUUCAAUCAUAAGUUGAAUUCUUUCGUAGAAGUCAACAAUUAUUACUGUUAAAACGAACCAAUAGUUUCUCAUUUUGCACACGUAUUGCUGAUGAUAAGAGAGUUCUGUUUUAUACUUUUGCACACGGUGACUUCUGACACCGAGUGCAUUUUUGCACUCAGCCCUUGUUUCGGAAUGCAAAAAUGGUAUAAGUAUCUCAUUAACCUUGAUUCACUUAUCAUUACAAGUAUCUAGAGAAGAAAAACAUUGUCGUCUAUCUGAAAUUUCUUAUCGUUACUCUCCUUUAAAUCUUAAAAACAUGCCUUGUGGAUCCUGCGGACCAAAUUGCACCUGCGAAAAAUGCCGAUGCUGUGGAGCAGGACAGUCAAAGUGUAGUACCGGAUGCACCUGCAGUAACUGUAAAUGCUGCAAUAAAGCACGCAAUUGCCGUUGUGGUGAUUGCAAAUGCUGCGGAGCGUCAUCAUGCUGAAAUUCUCUUUCUGUUUGAUUUCAAAUAUUUUCUCGCUGAAUGUUAAUUAUUUUAUCUAUUAAUCUGGAAUUAUUUUACACUUCGUAAAAUUUCUUGUUUUAUUUUCGCUGAUGAUGUUUGAAAUCAACGUGUAAUUUUAUUUUUAUUUAAGUAUAUAGUUUGUGUAAACCUUUCAAAAAACGAGCAAAACAUUGGUUUAUUUUAUGUUAAGAAAAUCGUGUGUUUUAAAUUUUUGAAAAUUUGCAUAUUUUUUAAACUCAUAGUAAAAAUAUUACAUGUUAAAAUUAUGAAUUUUAUAUCAAUGUAACACAUUUUUCUUAUUUAAUAAAAUUUAUAAAAACCAUAAAA